AUAGAAAUGUGCGACAUUGUAAUUACUGCCCUUAGUAACUGACUUCAUUUAAAGCACAUUUGGCAACUGUAUCAGCAUUUUCUAAUUAUCUCAACAGCUGUAAUAAUAUAGUAUAAUAUAUUCAUCAAACUUCCAACAACAAUAUGAACAGCAGUCUUCACACAGCAAUAC